AUGCCGAGUCAUAUUAACAGGCUGCUUGAGGUGCAUCAAAAUCGCAUCCGAAUUCUUGACGCUCUUUAUCUCGUCGACUACACUCGUCUGCUGAUGUGGUCCAUCGAUUUGCAGGAACAAGAUCAAUCUCAAGUAAAAGAAAUAAGAAUGUAGAACGAACUUUGAUCAGUUCCAAACAUUUGAGUACAAUAACCGAAAAAUCUGAUUAGUCUUUGGGUCUCGCAUAUUGUUACCCUCAUAAGUAGCUUCCAUCCGGCUUGCAGAUCGAGUGAAUCAAUUAGCCUGUCCAUCGCGCUCAGUCAGCUUGCACUGUCCAACACCCAAUGUAGUAACUAAACGAGGAAAUUCAGGGAGCGAAACUGCAGCGAUCAGAUUUCAAACAGAUCAGCAAUUACUCAGAGGUCAUAGACAGCGGAAUUCCACCACAUAGUACGGAUGGGAUUUAGUAUAUUUUAAAGUAGGUGUUAAUGCGAGCCUCCGAGAGAAUGAAAAUUUGCGCAACAUCAUGGCGAGAUAUUUGUGCAUGCCAUUAGUAAUUUGACGCGGUGUCUUAAUAAAGCAAUACUAACAAGCUUGCUUACUGUGAAUAAAAACCUAAAAAGUAUACGUAUUUCGGACGUGUCGGAAUCUUUGCCAACUUCACAUUAUACAUGCAAUA